UGAGUAACCUGCCCUUCACUCUGGGAUAACUCCGGGAAACCGGGGCUAAUACUGGAUAUGACUCGAACAGGCAUCUGUUUCGAGUGGAAAGAUUUAUUGGUGGCGGAUGGACUCGCGGCCUAUCAGCUUGUUGGUGAGGUAAUGGCUCACCAAGGCGACGACGGGUAGCCGGCCUGAGAGGGCGAUCCGGCCACACGUGGGACUGAGACACCGGCCCAGACCUCCGUACGGGAG
rnacentral:rRNA from 1 species